AUGAAUGAAAACCUUUCCAUCCUAAAUUGGAAUGUUCGUGGUCUUAACUGUCCGAAUCGGUGCACUACCGUUCAUGAGACAAUCACUGCUACUUCUUGCAACCUUGUUUGCCUUCAGGAAAUGAAGCUGGCAGCGGUUGAUCCUUUCGUGGCUGCUUUUUUGGGUGGCCAACGACUCAAAAGCUAUGCUGAGCGGCCAGCGGAUGGAACCAGAGGAGGUAUCCUCAUUCUCUGGAACGAAGACUUCAUUAAGGUGGAUAAUAUUUUCUUGGGCACCUUCAGCAUCUCUGCUAACAUCACUAUUGUUAGCAACCUUGUUUCUUUCAAACUCACUUCGGUUUAUGGUCCUACUAGAAGCAACCUUAAAGAUGCUUUUUUCCAAGAGCUCGUUAGCCUCAAACCACAACAGGGUACACGAUGGCUGGUUACGGGUGAUUUCAAUCAAAUCUACCGUGCAAGAGACAAAAACCGCACAAACGUAGACCGCUCUCGUCUUGUGCGCUUCCGAAAUGCCCUCAACUCCUGUGAGCUAAAGGAGAUCCACCUCCAGAACAGAAAGUUCACUUGGAGCAAUGAGCAAGCUAACCCGACCAUGAGCAAGUUAGAUUCCUUCUUCUGCAAUGACGACUGGGACGUAGAAUUUGGCUCUCACAUCCUUCAUGCUCUCUCAUCCUCGCUCUCCGAUCACUGCCCGCUGCUUUUGGCUAGCGACAAGGGACCAAGACAACCCAACACUUUCUGUUUUGAAAAUUUCUGGACGAAGUUGCCCAACUUCAAGAGAAUUGUCCAAGAUGCUUGGAGCAAGGGCACAAGCCACUCCGAGCCCUAUCAAGUGCUCUUUCACAAGAUGAAAAGAACAGGCCAGUGCCUCAGGCGUUGGAGCAAAUCCAUCUUCUCGAAUCACAAAGUGCAGCUCCACAUGGCCCUCGAGAUCAUCCUCCGCCUCGACGUGGCUCAAGAGUCCAGGACACUCAGCUUGGCUGAAUGGAAUCUGAGGAAGGACCUCAAAAAGAAGGUGGUGGCCUUGGCGGUUCUUGAGCGAGCCAGGAAAAGACAAUGUUCGAGAGUUAAGCUUCUCAAAGAGGGGGAUGCG
rnacentral:rRNA from 1 species